CAGGACGAACGCUGGCGGCGUGCUUAACACAUGCAAGUCGAGCGAUGAAGCUUCUUCGGAAGUGGAUUAGCGGCGGACGGGUGAGUAACCCGUGGGUAACUUGCCUCAUAGAGGGGAAUAGCCUUCCGAAAGGAAGAUUAAUACCGCAUAAGAUUGUAAUAUCGCAUGAUAUAGCAAUUAAAGGAGUAAUCCGCUAUGAGAUGGACCCGCGUCGCAUUAGCUAGUUGGUGAGGUAACGGCUCACCAAGGCGACGAUGCGUAGCCGACCUGAGAGGGUGAUCGGCCACAUUGGGACUGAGACACGGCCCAGACUCCUACGGGAGGCAGCAGUGGGGAAUAUUGCACAAUGGGGGAGACCCUGAUGCAAGCAACGCCGCGUGAGUGAUGACGGUCUUCGGAUUGUAAAGCUCUGUCUUCAGGGACGAUAAUGACGGUACCUGAGGAGGAAGCCACGGCUAACUACGUGCCAGCCGCCGC
rnacentral:rRNA from 1 species